GAUGAACGCUAGCGGCAGGCUUAACACAUGCAAGUCGAGGGGUAACAGGAAAAGCUUGCUUUUUGCUGACGACCGGCGCACGGGUGCGUAACGCGUAUAGAAUCUACCUUUUACUAAGGGAUAGCCUUUAGAAAUGAAGAUUAAUACCUUAUAGUAUGUUUAGUUCGCAUGGACCUAACAUUAAAGAUUACGACAAAAGAUGAGUAUGCGUCCUAUUAGCUAGAUGGAGUGAUAACGGCACCCCGUGGCGACGAUAGGUAGGGGCCCUGAGAGGGGGAUCCCCCACACUGGUACUGAGACACGGACCAG
rnacentral:rRNA from 1 species